rnacentral:rRNA from 1 species
UACAGAGGUCCCAAGCGUUGUUCGGAUUCACUGGGCGUAAAGGGUGCGUAGGCGGUCGGGUAAGUCUGAUGUGAAAUCUCACAGCUUAACUGUGAAACUGCAUUGGAUACUAUUCGGCUUGAGAGUUGGAGGGGGGACUGGAAUUCUUGGUGUAGCAGUGAAAUGCGUAGAUAUCAAGAGGAACACCAGUGGCGAAGGCGAGUCCCUGGACAACUUCUGACGCUGAGGCACGAAAGCUAGGGAGCAAACAGG